AGAGUUUGAUCCUGGCUCAGAAUCAACGCUGGCGGCGUGCCUAACACAUGCAAGUCGCACGAGAAAGGGUAGCAAUACCUGAGUAAAGUGGCGCACGGGUGAGUAACACGUGACUAAUCUACCCUCGAGUGGGGAAUAACUGAGAGAAAUCUUAGCUAAUACCGCAUAACACUUACGAGUCAAAGCAGCAAUGCGCUUGGGGAGGAGGUCGCGGCCGAUUAGCUAGUUGGCGGGGUAAUGGCCCACCAAGGCGAUGAUCGGUAUCCGGCCUGAGAGGGCGCACGGACACACUGGAACUGAAACACGGUCCAGACUCCUACGGGAGGCAGCAGUGGGGAAUUUUGCGCAAUGGGGGAAACCCUGACGCAGCAACGCCGCGUGGAGGAUGAAAUAUCUUGGUAUGUAAACUCCUUU
rnacentral:rRNA from 1 species